GUCAGACAGUUUUCAAUUUGUGAUUACCAUUGGGCCUUAGUUGCCUUCCUUUUUCAUCCACUAGAAACUAAAAGGACAUGUAGAAUAUACAACUUUAUGCUGUUGUGCAUAAUUGCACACCUUCAAGCUUGAGGUUGAGGUAUUGUAAACAUUAGCAUUUGUCAAAAUGUUAAACACUGUGCAUAAGAGCACAUCAUGCUCCAGUGCUUCCAUUGUGCUUGAACAUGUCUUUCUCGACUGUGCUCCUUUCUUACACAUAUCAUUUAAAUUUGAAAGAAAUCUCUCUCACGACCUCAAACGACUUUCCACUCGACGACCACCUCACCAUCUGCUUCACCGCACCAUCCCCUAUCUUACCACCGUUUACCGACUUCACCAUCACCGUUACCAUCGUUUCUGAUAUCAUCGUCACCACCAUUCAUAGCCAUUGUCAUUAUCUGCCUUCGCUUCCCCUAAAAUCCUAUUUCGGGUGUUUUGGAUUUCUGGUUUAUGAUAACAGACACACGCACAAAGAUGGUCUAACCUAUAGGGUUCAGAGCAAGAGAUGGAUUCAUGCUAAAGAGGGCAAACUUGGAAUACCCAACAGUACAAAAUUAGAUUGCAAAUAUCUCUACUAAUAUGUUGGUGGAGAAAAAGAAAGAAUCGGCUAUGCAUGCCACAAAUUACUGAUGCGCUUCUUGAAAUUGAGGAGGAAAAUGCAAUAUGGUCCACGUCCAAAACACAAAAAGCUUCUGUAGAAGCCAUUAAAAGAAAAUCAAAGUUUUAUAAUGAUGAAAUUGCUUUGUUAACAAAUACAAUAUUAGAGGUAAUAAUCAAAACAUUUAAUUACAAUAUAUGAUAACGAUCAUUGUAUUGUAUUUAUUGCUUUAAGGUGAGGAAUAAAUGCAAGAUUAGCACAGGAAACUGGCUUUUACAGGAAAAAAGGGGUGUGGAGAAAGCAAUCAGGUUUACCCAUAUCCUUUAGGAUUCAUGUUUUUAGGCCAAGGGUAUUUUUGUCUUUUGAUACGUUUAGUUACCGGUAGCCUGGUACAGUGUGGAGAACACUUGAAAUUGACAAACCAAAGAAUGAUCUUAUACUACCAUGAUGUAAGUUCUAUACAUUUAAAUAAACUAUAUUCCACUUCAUACUAAUUUGUGAUUAUACAUAAUUACAUACUUUAAUUAUAUAUUAUAUUACAUCUAAUAACUUUUUAGUCGUUUAGGCACUAUUUAUAUAUUUAUUUAGUUUUGUAGUAUAUUCUUCCACUUUGUCUUAAUUUUUUAUUUUGAAACACCAAUAGGAUAUACUAAACGUAUGACAUUGUUACAGUAGAAAUUCAUAACCUGGCCUGUACAUCAGGUAUGUGAUGGAUUAGUUGCAAGUUAUAUCAAAUAUGAAUUAUAAUUUUUGUAUGUAAUUACUACACGUAUGCCAUUGUUACAACUUACACAUUUCAGGUUUAGGGUAGAGUGGAGUGGAUCUACACUAUGGGUCUAAUGGUCCAUACGACAUGCAACAUCACAUUGUUAAUCCUUGGUAUGGCCAUGGAGUUGUACAUCAUGGUCGGUAUUAUAUGAAACUUUCUAAUGGUUAGUGUUAAUUCAUUUAGACAACCCUCGCCCAUCUUGUUAAAGAAGAUUAUUACUUUAAUUAAAUUACAAUUUAAUUCUCUAAAAUAACAAGAAAAAUAUUAUUAUUAUUGUUAUUAUUAUUUGGGUCAAAUGCAAGCAAUAACAACUUACAAUUUUAUUUUUA